AUGACCUGGGCUCUUCUCCUCCUCAGCCUCCUCAGUCAGGGCCCAGGAACCUGGGCCCAGAAUGUUCUCAAUCAGCCUCUCUCAGUGUCUGGGACUCAGGGACAGACAGUCACCAUCUCCUGUACAGGAACCAGCAAUGACAUUGGGGGAUAUAAUCUUGUCUCCUGGUACCAGCAACAGGAGGGCAAGGUCCCCAAAAUGCUGAUUUAUGAGGUCAAUAAGCGGCCAUCAGGGAUUCCUGAUCGCUUCUCUGGCUCCAAGUCUGGCAACACAGCAACCCUGACCAUCUCUGGGCUCAAGCCUGAGGACGAGGCUGAUUACUACUGUUGCUCUGGCAGGCGUGGUGAUACAUCAGGAACCUUAGAACUGGGAGGAUCCUGCAGGAACCUUAGUGAAGCCAUGAAGUUAGGUUAUAAGCAGUCGGCAUAG